UACGCAGGACCCGAGCGUUAUCCGGAUUUAUUGGGUUUAAAGGGUGCGUAGGCGUCCUGGAAAGUUACGGUUGAAAUCUCCUUGCUCAACAAGGAAACUGGCCGUAAAACUAUCAGGAUUGAGUACAUUUGAAGCGGGCGGAAUGUGUCAUGUAGCGGUGAAAUGCUUAGAUAUGACACAGAACACCAAUUGCGAAGGCAGCUCGCUAAACUGUAACUGACGCUGAGGAGCGAAAGCGUGGGGAGCGAACAGG
rnacentral:rRNA from 1 species